GUGACCUCAAAUCAGGUAGGACUACCCGCUGAACUUAAGCAUAUCAAUAAGCGGAGGAAAAGAAACUAACAAGGAUUCCCCUAGUAACUGCGAGUGAAGCGGGAAAAGCUCAAAUUUAAAAUCUGUCAGUCUUUGGCUGUCCGAGUUGUAAUCUAGAGAAGUGUUAUCCGCGCUGGACCGUGUACAAGUCUCCUGGAAUGGAGCGUCAUAGAGGGUGAGAAUCCCGUCUUUGACACGGACUGCCAGGGCUUUGUGAUGCGCUCUCAAAGAGUCGAGUUGUUUGGGAAUGCAGCUCAAAAUGGGUGGUAAAUUCCAUCUAAAGCUAAAUAUUGGCGAGAGACCGAUAGCGAACAAGUACCGUGAGGGAAAGAUGAAAAGAACUUUGGAAAGAGAGUUAAACAGUACGUGAAAUUGCUGAAAGGGAAACGCUUGAAGUCAGUCGCGUUGUCCAGGGAUCAACCUUGCUUUUGCUUGGUGUACUUUCUGGUUGACGGGUCAGCAUCAAUUUUGACUGUUGGAAAAAGGUCGAGGGAAUGUGGCAUCUUUAGAUGUGUUAUAGCCCUUGAUUGCAUACAAUGGUUGGGAUUGAGGAACUCAGCACGCCGCAAGGCCGGGUAUUAACCACGUACGUGCUAGAUG
rnacentral:rRNA from 1 species